rnacentral:rRNA from 1 species
UAGGGAAUCUUGCGCAAUGGGCGAAAGCCUGACGCAGCGACGCCGCGUGCGGGAUGAAGGCCUUCGGGUUGUAAACCGCUUUCAGCAGGGACGAAAUUGACGGUACCUGCAGAAGAAGCCCCGGCCAACUACGUGCCAGCAGCCGCGGUAAUACGUAGGGGGCAAGCGUUGUCCGGAUUUAUUGGGCGUAAAGAGCUCGUAGGCGGUUCGGUAAGUCGGAUGUGAAAUCUCCACGCUCAACGUGGAGGGGCCGUUCGGUACUGCCGUGACUCGAGUCCGGUAGGGGAGUGUGGAAUUCCCGGUGUAGCGGUGAAAUGCGCAGAGAUCGGGAGGAACACCCGUAGCGAAGGCGGCACUCUGGGCCGGUACUGACGCUGAGGAGCGAAAGCGUGGGGAGCGAAC